AAGGGAGACCUAAUUCCGGUAGGAGACGGAAAAAAAGUAGUCCCAACCAAGAAUCAAUCCCAAAAGGUCGGAACGAGGUAUGAGGCUUUCAAACUAGGUUCUGGGUUCAUAAAAGACCUGAAUCAGGAACAAGGGCUAUUAGCUCAGGUGGUUAGAGCGCACCCCUGAUAAGGGUGAGGUCCCUGGUUCGAGUCCAGGAUGGCCCACCUGCACAGGUGGCAAAAACAAGAGAAGCUCCGAAUCAGCACCUUAUCUUAUAUACAUAUAUAAGAGAGAAUGCUGGCUCUGAGUACAGAGUCCAGAGGAACCUUGAAAACUGCAUAGAGCUAGGUGAAAAAGCCAAAAAAGAAGACCGCAA
rnacentral:tRNA from 1 species